rnacentral:snRNA from 1 species
AGCUCAUGUUCCUCUUCAAAUCGUACAAAUCUUUCGCCUUUUACUAAAGAUUUCCGUGAAGAGAGACAGAAUGUGAGAAAAGACCAAUUUUUGCUAUGCUCUGCUUUGUCAGAGCAU